GAUGAAGAACGCAGCGAAAUGCGAUAAGUAGUGUGAAUUGCAGAAUUCAGUGAAUCAUCGAAUCUUUGAACGCACAUUGCCCCCCUUGGUAUUCCAUGGGGCAUGCCUGUUCGAGCGUCAUUUGUACCUUCAAGCUCUGCUUGGUGUUGGGUGUUUGUCUCGCCUCUGCGUGUAGACUCGCCUUAAAACAAUUGGCAGCCGGCGUAUUGAUUUCGGAGCGCAGUACAUCUCGCGCUUUGCACUCAUAACGACGACGUCCAAAAGUACAUUUUUACACUCUUGACCUCGGAUCAGGUAGGGAUACCCGCUGAACUUAAGCAUAUCAAUAAGCGGAGGA
rnacentral:misc_RNA from 1 species